AUAUCACAAGGACAACUGACUCUAAACCUUGAAGUUAAGUUAAUUAAUCCUAAUCGAUUUCACAUAAUGGAGUUUGGAUUGAAUAGCCGGUUGGCUUAUCCUAAAUCAGGAUAAGUUUAUUCCAGUUCCCAACAAACAGGUUUCACUCGUGGAAUAAGGGUAGCUACAAAACCGCCACUAUAAAUCAUCCAGAAUUCGCUGCAAAUACGGGUAGGGCGUAACGGAGAAACGGAGCCGAAGAAGAGGGCUUAGCAUCGUAGAGCAAUUUAUUUUUGAACUGCAAUUUUCAAUUAAAACAAAAAAGCAUGGAUCGAUAUCAAAAGGUUGAGAAGCCAAAGGUGGAAACACCGAUUAAUGAGAAUGAGAUUCGGAUUACUAGCCAAGGCAGGAUGCGGAGCUAUAUCACUUAUGCCAUGACUCUGCUUGAGG